rnacentral:rRNA from 1 species
UACGUAGGGUGCGAGCGUUGUCCGGAAUUAUUGGGCGUAAAGGGCUCGUAGGCGGUUUGUCGCGUCGGGAGUGAAAACACCGGGCUUAACUCGGUGCUGGCUUUCGAUACGGGCAGACUAGAGGUAUGCAGGGGAGAACGGAAUUCCUGGUGUAGCGGUGAAAUGCGCAGAUAUCAGGAGGAACACCGGUGGCGAAGGCGGUUCUCUGGGCAUGUCCUGACGCUGAGGAGCGAAAGCCAGGGGAGCAAACGGG